rnacentral:rRNA from 1 species
UACGUAGGGUGCAAGCGUUGUCCGGAAUUAUUGGGCGUAAAGAGCUCGUAGGUGGCCUGUCGCGUCGGCUGUGAAAACUCGGGGCUCAACUCCGAGCUUGCAGUCGAUACGGGCAGGCUAGAGUUCGGCAGGGGAGACUGGAAUUCCUGGUGUAGCGGUGAAAUGCGCAGAUAUCAGGAGGAACACCGGUGGCGAAGGCGGGUCUCUGGGCCGAUACUGACGCUGAGGAGCGAAAGCAUGGGGAGCGAACAGG